UAUGUGACUUGCAAAGCCAAGC
rnacentral:miRNA from 1 species